rnacentral:rRNA from 1 species
GAGUUUGAUCCUGGCUCAGAGUGAACGCUGGCGGCGUGCCUAAUACAUGCAAGUCGAACGGACAAGUAAGAGCUUGCUCUUAUGAGUUAGUGGCGCACGGGUGAGUAAUGUAUAGCUAAUCUGCCCUACACUAGAGGACAACAGUUGGAAACGACUGCUAAUACUCUAUACUCCUUCUUUACAUAAGUUGAGUCGGGAAAGUUUUUCGGUGUAGGAUGAGGCUAUAUCGUAUCAGCUAGUUGGUAAGGUAAUGGCUUACCAAGGCUAUGACGCGUAACUGGUCUGAGAGGAUGAUCAGUCACACUGGAACUGAGACACGGUCCAGACUCCUACGGGAGGCAGCAGUAGGGAAUAUUGCUCAAUGGGGGAAACCCUGAAGCAGCAACGUCGCGUGGAGGAUGACACUUUUCGGAGCGUAAACUCCUUUUCUUGGGAAAGAAUUAUGACG